CUGGGUUCAAGCGAUCCUCCCGCCUCGGCCUCCUAAAGUGCUGGGAUUACAGGUGUGAGCCACCGAGCCGGCCUAACACCACUGUGAUAGAGCCCUUCUGCUGCGCCUAACAAGAAAAAGGUGUGAGGAAUCAGGUAGAGGAUGGUAGCUCGGAAGAAACAGAGCCUGACCUCACCUGGCCAGAUAUCCAAUCUUCAUUGCCCCAAACCACUGGACCCUUGAAGAAUGUCUGAUACGGAAGCCUUACCUGACUGUGCAAGGGCAUCAAUAAAGGCAAAAAAGUGCUUCUCUAAAUCUUCCAAAUCAGAGAA
rnacentral:lncRNA from 1 species